UAACGACUCUCGGCAACGGAUAUCUAGGCUCUCGCAUCGAUGAAGAACGUAGCGAAAUGCGAUACUUGGUGUGAAUUGCAGAAUCCCGUGAACCAUCGAGUCUUUGAACGCAAGUUGCGCCCGAGGCCUUUAGGUCGAGGGCACGUCUGCCUGGGCGUCACGC
rnacentral:rRNA from 1 species